UCCGGCUUAUCACCGGCGGUUUCUUUAGAGUGCCCAACUAAAUGAUGGCAACUAAAGACGAGGGUUGCGCUCGUUGCGGGACUUAACCCAACACCUCACGGCACGAGCUGACGACAGCCAUGCAGCACCUGUGCAGCGGCCCCGAAGGGAACUAUCGUUUCUGAUAGCGUCCACUGCAUGUCAAGUCUGGGUAAGGUUCUUCGCGUUGCAUCGAAUUAAACCACAUGCUCCACUGCUUGUGCGGGUCCCCGUCAAUUCUUUUGAGUUUCACCCUUGCGAGCGUACUCCCCAGGCGGUAUACUUAUCGCGUUAGCUUCGACACAACCAGGGUUGAGUCCGGUUACAUCAAGUAUACAUCGUUUACGGCAAGGACUAC
rnacentral:misc_RNA from 1 species